AAGGAGCCCCCCCCCCCUCCCCCUCUCUCUCCAUUCUUUCCGGCGAGCAACAACAGCUGCGAGCAACAGCUCCGGCGCCACCCUCUCCUAUCUCCUCCUCUCCGUCUUCUCUCCCUCUCAUCUCCCUCCGCUUCUCAUUCCUUUCACCCUUCCCUUUCUUUUUUCCCUUUUUCUCUCCUCUCUUUGCAGGAUCAGUCCAGCAGCGAUGGACUCCGGCGAGGAGAGCAGCAAGCAAUCGCUGACGGAAAGACCAUCGGCAGGAGCAAGCAGCAGCCCUGCGCAACAGAAACAGCAACGAGGAACAACACAACGGCAACAACAAUUUUCAGCGAAGUUCAAGACAGAUCUCAACAGAUCUGUCCAGACAGAGAGGGGACUCUUUCAUACCUGCUAACUCCUAGGAUGAGAAGUAGGUCCCUUGUUUUUGGCAGGAAGAGUUCCAGCCUUUGUUGCCCCUCGGUAGAGUGAGUCUACUUAGCGAACUGGCAGGACGCGGAGAUCUAUUGAUCAAUAUGAAUCUCGAGGCUAGGCAACUCAAGAAGCUCUACAUAUAAAAAAGUUGAUACAAGAUUAUACUAUUUCUUUCAUCAAAGUAGGAGAUAAGGGAAAAAGGGGUAUGCAGCGCUUCCGGCCCAACUAACUUUUCUUUUUGAAUCAGGAAAUACUCUUCCUCCAUGUCCGGCAAGCAGUGAUGAUGGAGCUGAUCAAGAGGGUGAUGAGAAUGAUAAGGGUGAUAAGGAGAGUGAUGGUGAUAAAGAGUAGUUGUAUUGGUUUGACAUUUUAGACUUCUAUAUUUUUGGAAUUGUUUGAUCGUAUUUUAGUUAAUUUUGAAGUUGAAUGAAGUUUAUUUUGAAAUAGUUUAA